rnacentral:lncRNA from 1 species
UGACGUCAUAUUGCUACGGUAUAUACGGUUAGUGCGAUAGUGCGGUUUCUAUGAUGUCACUUAUCACAAUAUUAUGAUAAUACGUAUAGCUGAUAGGGAGUAUUUAUCAAUAUAUCAUUGAUAUUAGAAUUUUAAAAAUUAAUUAGUUGCUCAAUACUUUCUGGAAGUUCAAUUUCAAAAUAUUGAGAUAGGUACAAUUAUUUUCAUUGACGAUAGUGAAUAUAAUUUUACAAACAAUAAUUUGUAUCCAAUUUCUUAGUAUAUAUUAUGUUACAUGUACCUAGAUACAGUUAUUUCUGCUACAGAAUCCAUGCCAGUUCAUCUUCACCCAGAGCUGUAUUUUAUUUGUUGGAAAAACAUCAAGCAACAGGAUAGUCAUCAAAAUUCCUUAUGUAUUAUAUUACGUUAUGUGUUUAAACUACUCAUUUAACCUGUGUUUACCUUCUAUGCAUAUUUUCUUGUUUUCAAAUUUCAAUAAUAAUUCAGUUUGACAUGUUGUCAUUAUUAUCAAAAAAAAGUCAUUUUCACUACUAAUAAUAAAUUAUAGUAUUGGUCUUAUGCAUAUUAAGGCUUUAAAUAUGUUAAUUGAUAUAGAUAAUUUGGAAGACAUGUUUAAACAACUGAGGUGUGAAGUAUAUGGAGGUGAUUUAAAAACUGAAUAUAAAUUUGAUGGUAAUGCGAUUUUACUAACCUACUAUGUUAUUACAAUUCUUGAAUUAUGUGUUAUAUGUAAGUUACAGUUCUUGAUCAAUAAUGAAAAUAUGUCAUGGUACAUAGAUUACUAGUAUUCAAAGAUCAAUGUCAUAUGCGAUAAAAGUCAAGAUUAAUUAUUAAUUUGGUCUUCUAGAAUCUGAAUUACCAUCAUCCAAAAUGUUUUAAUGACAUCUAAUGAUCUAGAUUGAUGGUACAUAAGUAACGUUUAAAAUAAAUAUAUUAUUAUUUUAAAUAGAUAGGUAGGAUAUUCAAAAUAGAAAAUAAUAAUAACAACUUUUUAUUUAAAUGAUAAAUUAUAUAAAUUAAGUCUUAAAUGGUUCUAUCAAUAAAUGCCCCUCCCCUCUUUCGAGAUAUCUAUAAUUAUUGUUAUUUUUGUAUACAGGUAAUUUUAUUUUUUUAUUUUUUAUUUUAGGCAACGAAACAUUGGAUUAACACAAAGAUUGGCAAAUUGAUGCGACAUUAGUUCAAAGUCUAAAACCAAAUUGACAUUCUUAUAUCAUAUUGAGUCAGUACUUACAAAAGGAUAUACAUAUUUAUUUCAUUAAAUAAACUAAUUCAUUAUUUAAAGUUUAGAUGAAAAUACUUAUGACUUAUGGAAUCAAACUUUGAGUGUUUUUAUCAUAAAACAAUAACCAACACAUCUUCAUCCACGAAUAGCUAAAGAAGUAUGUUAAAUUAAUUAAAUACCUACAUUUUAUUUAAUUUAAAAUUAUUUAUAGAUAGGUAUUGGGUUUUAAUUUGGGAAAGACUGAUAAUAUUACUUAUAAUUGUCAAUGUUUAAAUUAAAUGACUGCUAACAAAUAUCAACAUAUUAUCAAUUCAAUUGAGACUAAAAUUAAUCAAGAUAAUGAAAAUUGUAUAUAUAUAUACAAGGUGAUUUUUAUAUUGGUUUUAACUUUUUUGAGUUAAAAAAGUAAAUUUGCUGUUGGCUAUUAAUACUGUUUAGAAUAACAAUAAAAUAAAUAGGUAGGCAUAUAUGAAAAAAAAUUAACCUAAAGUAUUAUUGUGAGUUGGGUGUAUAUAUAAUUGGUUUUAAUUUAAAAAGCUUGCUACUGACUAUAAAAGCAUAUAAUAUAUUAUUUACCACUCAUUACAGAGAGAGUAAAACCCCUUUUAAUAAAAAAUAUUCUAAAACGAAGUUAAUUUAAGACAUUUGAUUUAUUAUCUAUAAUAAUAUAUUAUAUUUAAAAUCUGCCUAUAUAUUAAGCGCUAUUCUUACAGUAUACUAUAAAGUGUUAGCGUUAAACUGACAGCAUUUUGCUGGUUUUUGACAAAAAUAACCAUCAAUUAGUGUUAUUAAACACUUAAAAGGCCAUUGUUUUUAAAAUUAUUUUCUAAUAGAAUAUGUUCUAAGUAAAUUGCAUUUUAUUUUUUCCCGUUAUAUUUUACUAUUACCUGAUGCAUACAACCAAUUAUAAUACUCCAGGAUAGGUUUUGUUUUUCUAUAAGUGUCAAUCCUCCUAUCCGGCCUUCCCUACCCAAACUUUUUCAUCAUUCCACGGACAGGCUUAAAUUUCAUAAUUUGGUAGAUCAAAACGUAAAACUCCAAGUUAGUCUCAAAUCUCCUCAAGAAAUUGAUACAGUUAUUAACAACCUAACAAAUAUAAUUCAAUCUGCAGCAUAAGCAUCUGGUCCCACAAAUACUCAGUUUUAAAACGUUGCUCCUUCAGUUCCUAAACAUAUACGUAUCCUCAUUUCCAACAAGCGUAAAGCAAGGGCCUUAUAUCAACGUUCAUGCCUCCCAUCACACAAACACAUCUAUAAUAAUCUUUUUNAAAAUCUAUCCAUUACAAACUAUCUCACUAAUCUAUCACCUAAAAAUGGCAGUCUCUGGUCAGCUACUAAAAGACUUCUAAAAUACAAACCGCCUCGUGUUCCCAUACAAAUUCCCAGGGCGGGUUCGCAUCUACAGAAGCUGUAAAAGCCCAACUGUUUAAAGACCACCUAACGGAAAUUUUCACUCCUCACACAGAUAUACAUAUACCUUUACAUACUGACACAGUUAAACGUUUUCUGGACGUCCCCCUUCCGAUGUUUCCCGCAGUUAAGCAUUUCUCUCCCAGCAAAGUAAAAUUAACAAUCCAAAAAUACAGCCUCAAAAAAUCUCCGGGGUUUGAUCUAAUAACUGCAGAUGUGGCCAGAUGACUCCCUAAAAGAGCCAUUGUCCUUCUCACAAUUAUAUUCAAUGCAUGUUUAAGACUAUCCUACUUCCCCUUGCUUUGGAAAUUCUCUAUCACUAUCCUAGUUCCUAAAACAAAUAAGCCUCCGGACUUAUCCUCCUCCUUUCGACCAAUAAACCUUCUCCCAUUCUUCAGUAAAAUUCUUGAAAGAUUAAUUCUUAAAAGAAUUCUUCCAUACAUUACGACCAGCUCCGUUUUACCAGACACUCAAUUCGGCUUCCGCUCUGCUCAUUCCACUAUUCACCAGCUCCACAGACUGGUCGAUGCUAUUUCGUUCUCCCUUGAAAAAAAAAGUUAUUGCUCCUGCGUCUUCUUGGAUAUAUCAGAAGCAUUUGAUAGGGUAUGGCACAAUGGACUGUUAUAUAAAAUAAAGCCUAUAUUCCAUCCAACAUCUUGACAAUUGAAUGCCGACUCACAUGGUCACACCACAUCAAAAUUAAAAAGCUUGCCCUAAAUGCUCGUCUCGACAUCCUUAAAACCCUAAUCUCGAACAACAAACAUACUUCUCUAAAUGUCAAACUCCUAAUUUAUAAAUCCUUAUUCAAGCCAAUAUGGACCUAUGGCCUCCAGCUCUGGGGCAAUGCUAAAAACUCCAAUACAAACAAAAUUCAAACCCUUCAAAAUAAAAUCCUUCGCAAAAUCACAAAUUCUCCACCAUACAUCUCUAACUUAACUUUACACUCUGACCUAAAAAUCAAAACAGUUCAUGAAGAAGCAGUCACUUUUUACAAACGUUUCCAUUCCAAACUUCCUUUCUAUAUCAACCCACUCAUCUCAAAUCUUUCCUCCCUCACAAUUCCUGGAAACCCCCCCCCCCCCCCGGGNCUUCUUAAUAACUAAUAAACAAUAACUCAAGUAAGAGCAGUGUUACCACUGGGUAGCUCCUCCCAUCAUUCAAUCAUGUUAUUACCAUCUAUCAUCACAUAUUCUUAUUAUUCCUGAGGAAUAGAUUGUAUAUUAUAAAAAUUUAAAUAAAAAAAAAAAAAAAAAUGAUUUUUAUAAUUUUGAGUAUUAAUCAGUUAAGCAAAUAAAUGUUUAGGUAUUAAAAAACAAUUUUGUUUCUUAAUAUCACAAUAAUAUUUUAGAAUUAUUUCUGAUAUUUUCAAUUUUCCUUAUGCUUAUAAUUUAUUAAGUUAUGACUAUUGUUUUAUCUUUUUAACAAUUUGAUGAACAUAAUUUAUUAUUGAAAUAUAAUCUGAUUUACUGUUUCAUAUUAUAAAUUAUAUAUGUACAUUUCUAAUGAAUUUUUUUUUAAGUAAAUUUGUUUUUUUAUAUUAAAAAUACCAUUUUUAUCACAUUAAAAAUACACACAAUUAAUAUUCACUAUUUAUUUGAACUGAUAUUUGAAUUCAAAAUUAUUUUAUUACAUAUAUCCUAACUGCAUAUUGUAUAUGAGUUAUUUAUCUAUUUUAUCUAUUAUCUAUUUGAAUAAAUAUAAUAUAAUAAUGUUUAGAUCUGAUAGUAGGGAAUUGUUAGUUUUUAUUUAAUAAUAUAACAGGAAACUUACUAUUGAUAAAAAAUACUUUUAUAAUUAUAUGUAUUUAAUUUAUAUACAAGAAAAUAAUUACCGAACACUAUAAUUCAUUUAACUAAUUUAUAUGUGAACGGGUGCUUCUGACAUAUUUAUUUAUUUUCAUUUAGAUCCUGAGCAAAGCAAAAGAUGUAUUUUAUUAGUGCAUAUUAAGUAUCUACUUUGUAGAAAUAUUUUUCUCUUUAUUUAGGUAUUGUGUAUACUCUAAAUUGAGUUUACUUUGUUUAUUUGUGCAUGUACUCAUCAAUACAGUUGUGAAUUAAAUUAACUUAAAAUUUAUAUUGUUAAUUUAUACAAUAACCUUUAACACAUCAGUUAUAUCAAUCAAAAUGUUCCUUAAUAUUUCUUUACAAUACCUAAUACUUGAGUAGGUAUUUGGUUAGUAGGUUUUGUAAUUAUUAUUAUAUUAAAUUAACUUUUUUCUUUUAUUAUUUUUUUAGUGGAAGCCUGGUGAAUAAUUUUAUUAAAUUGGAUAACUAAGCAGUUGGUCAUUACACUCAUACGAGUUUACAAAAACUCAAAAGUGAAGUUAGGUAUCAUAGUACUAUACAAAAAAAGGACAAACUGAACCAAGAAUAAGUA